GGGGAAGUUCUGCGGGGGGCGGAUCCACUUCCAUUGGCUCGGCCUUUACCUUCACCUUCUGGUACUGGGCGUCUUUGCUGUUCUCUGGAGAGAAGACGACAACUACUGAUAAAGAAAGCAGUGGGCACGAAAAAAGAAAGACGUGGCACGACUUUGAUGCAUCGAAACCAUAGGGAGAAAUUCUUGGACUGACAGUCAAUGAAGAGGACAGGCAGAGAGGCAAAGUGGAAGGGUGAAGAGAAAAAGAAAACUGUCAAAAGAGUGCCAGAAAAAAAACACCCGAGGGUAAAAUAGAAACGAAGACUGCAGGAUGAGAAUGAAGAGCUGGGGGAGGACAGCACGAUGAGAGUUGGCCAGAGCCUAAAUGACAUCUCUUCCCCCUUCCCGUUAUCCAGCCGACCUGCUCAGACAGGGGUGAAGAGUUCAGGCGCUUCAAAGGCUGCAGUGUGGAGACUGGAUGUCAUGUGGGAGCCACAGCAGCCUUGCCUGCAGACUUCACAGACAGCUGCUGCUACAAUUGAUCCUCAACCAACUAGAGCUCCGCAGUUAAGUCUUCCAACAGAUACAAAAUGCAGAAACAUGUAGAGCAGCGCGCCUGAUAUACGUCCUAUAAUUAGUCAGAUACCGUCUCCAAGAAGCAAAAUUUAAGCAAUAACAAAAAAUAAAUAAAUACAUAACCAAAUCUCAGGUUGCUUGGUCAUAUAGGCGUAGAUAAAUACCAGAUAAAUGACUGCCAUCACCCAUAGAUAUCAAACUUAGCACUAAAUAAAAAGCAAGUAUACCUAUAAUUAAAAGAUGGAACUAUAGGAUGUGAUGAAGAGCCAGAGAGACAGAAGGUACGGAGGGCGGGAAUAAAAGAGGUCAGCAAGCGGCCACGCUGAGGGGUCACAGUGAGGACACUGUCAGAGCAGAGUACGGCUUAAUAUGAGGUAAUACCACAGAAUGAUGCCAAUGUUGUGAACUAGAAUGGUGAACCGCUUGGACAGCGUGCUGUGGUAAGCUAUAUUGAAAAAUUUAACGGCUGAAUCUAAGCAGCGUUACAUUUACUUAAAACAUGAAAGGAGGAUUUUAUAAAGUACAUUUAUACAUAAAACAUUUGGUGGUAUUGCUUGCCUCUUUUUUAGACCACUUUAAUCUUUAUUUAUAUUAUCUACUAAAAAGCAGUGGAAUUGAGAGCUCAUAUUUAUUAAUUUAAAUUGCAAGAAAAGGGACAUGAUUUGCUGAGGAGAGUUACCACUUGAAUAUUUCUUCCUUAGUCUUUUUUUGUUCUUGCUAAGAAAAAAGCUGUAGAAAAAAUAGCUGAGAUACUAACUCUUGAAUUAAAGUCAUACACAUCAAAACUGUGGUGUUCAGCAAAAAAAUAUAUAUUUUCCUGUGAUUGCACUAGAAUUGCAGUAGAAAAUGUUUUGUGAGAAUAAGAAAUAACUGAUGUAAAAACUAAAGAAAUCUGUAAAGAUGUGUGAAAUGUAAGAAAAAGACAAGACAUUAGGCUCCCCUGAUGUAUGGACUUCACCGUGUCAUACAGACCAGAUGUCGGACUUCAAUAAACCUUUUUUCUUUGACUAUUUGAAACCAAAGUCAAAUUCCUUG